AGAGUUUGAUCAUGGCUCAGGAUGAACGCUGGCGGCGCGCCUAACACAUGCAAGUCGAACGGACGAUGAAAAGCUUGCUUUUCAAAGUUAGUGGCGGACGGGUGAGUAACGCGUGGGUAACCUGCCUCAUACAGGGGAAUAGCAGCUGGAAACGGCUGAUAAAACCGCAUAAGCGCACAGUGCCGCAUGGCACAGUGUGAAAAACUCCGGUGGUAUGAGAUGGACCCGCGUCUGAUUAGCUGGUUGGCGGGUAACGGCCACCAAGGCGACGAUCAGUAGCCGGCCUGAGAGGGUGAUCGGCCACGAUUGGGACUGAGACACGGCCAAACUCCUACGGGAGCA
rnacentral:rRNA from 1 species